rnacentral:lncRNA from 1 species
UCCAGAACAGUUUUGGAAGCAGAUCCCUACACAAAGCACCCAUAAUCAAAAGCAGAUCUGAUCAUGUCCUGAAAAAUUUGCAACAUUGUCUCCCUAUUAGCCCCACACCCAGCCAGACUUCUCAUCACAUUCAAAACUUUUUCACACUGCAACACAGUUUUACCAGGUGCACGGCCCAAGUCAUACACUCUUCAAACCAAAUACCCAAAAAAGUUUAAAACAUUUACCUUCUCCAAUGGAGACUCAUACAUAUAUAACCCAGAUUAGGUAACUUUCUUUUAAAACCCAAAAUUAUAUAUUUUGUUUUAGAAGCAGAUAUUUUGAAGCCCCAUGUAUUUCCCCAUUCCUCUACAGAUAUGAACACUCUUUGUAUAGCUUUUAAAACAAGCCCUACGUUACACCCUCUUUUCCAAAUAGCCCUGUCAUCUGCAAAUAAAAAGAAACCUGAAUCCUCUCUCUAUUUUAUCAAAGAUAUAAUUUAUCAUUAUAUUAAAUAAAACUGGACUUAUUACACCAAAGACUUAAACUACUUCAGUCUAUGUGCAUUUUAUUUUCAUAAUACAAAAAGCUUCACAAUUUGAGUUACAUUACUGAAAUAAAUGAACUAUUCCACGACAUUCUAAUUUAUUGAGAUGCACCUUUAGUCAAGUAGACAAAUACAAAGACUGCAAAUGUGGGUAUUUGAACAAGGCUUCUGGGUAGAAAGUGAACCUCUUUAAUCCUGCCCAGGUUUAAUGAUUUUCAAGCUGUGCGCGCUUACUGAUUAUGUAAUAAUGAGUUAACAAGCUGUCCAGGUGGCACAAAUUGUUUUCUGUUUGGCUUUAAAAGUCCUGGUUUGGAUGGAACUAUAUGUAUAGUUUGGUCAUUUUGAGGUUAAGGUUGUAGUAAAGAAUGGAUAUGAUUAAAUUUACUCUUUUGGUGUUUCUUUAUCACCAGUUGCUAUGGCAAGGAAAUGUCUGGAGUCAGGGUGAGCUGCCAGUUAACACCACGGCGCCAGAGCUUCAGGGGGACGAAUCGCCAGCUAACACCACGACGCCAGAGCUUCAUGGGGACGAAUCGCCAGCUAACACCACGGCGCCAGAGCGUCAGUGGGACGAAUCGCCAGCUAACACCACGACGCCAGAGCGUCAGUGGGACGAAUCGCCAUCUAACACCACGACGCCAGAGCAUCAGUGGGACGAAUCGCCAGCUAACACCACGGCGCCAGGGCCUCAGGGGGACGAAUCGCCAGCUAACACCACGACGCCAGAGCGUCAGUGGGACGAAUCGCCAGCUAACACCACGGUGCCAGAGCGUCAGUGGGACGAAUCGCCAGCUAACACCACGGCGCCAGGGCCUCAGGAGGAUGAGACUGAGACCACUUCUAGUGCCACCACACAGUCUCAGGAGAUGGAGACCACUUCUAGUGCCACCACACAGUCUCAGGAGACUAGACCACUUCAAACACUACCUAAGCCUUGUUGAAUAGGUUUUUUUUGGUGCUGUCUAGCUGCUUUGUCAAAAGUUGACUAACAAAAUAAAAGUUUAAUGGUUUGUCUUGUUCAAUGUCUCUUUCCAGAGUUGGAGCUGCUUUUAAUGCCAAUUCUUUCUCUUUGGGGGGGGUCGCUUUAGCAGUUGACCAUUUCUGGUACAUUGCUGUUACCAAUUCUGCCUAAACGUAAUGGGCUCUAAGCAAGGAGAGGUGGUGUAUUUCUGCUCCUGUUAUACUGGCAAGGGCACUUCUGGCUUGUACAGUAAACUAAGAAACCAUCAGUUGUGUGGGAGACACGCCCCCUUACUAAAAGAAAACACUGUAGUUUUAUACAGUGAAGUUGAGGUUAUAUCUUCAUAACAAUGGAAAAAACUUUUACAACGUUUUUAAGGCAAAUGAAGGCAUCGUAGGAGCACUGUAUUCUCAUUCUGUGUCUUCACACUACAACUCCUGUGCUAGUUCUCAUUCCUUUCUGGUGAAGGAAGACAUCAGGGGGAAAAAUGGAUUGUAAACCUUAAAAAAAAAAAAUCAACUUCCAAAUGAAACAAGCAAAGGUAACCCCUUGUCCAUUUCUGGUAGCAUUAAUCCGCUGUUUGGUGUCAUGUCUUAACUAUCAGAAUAGACCACUUGUUAAGGCAUGGGCCCAGUGAGUCAGCACAGUGUCAUUGUUGUCUGUGUACGAAGUCUUUAUUUGGCACAUUGAAGUUAAAGAGUUUGGUGAUUUUACAUCCGAGUUAGUUCUGGCUGCAGGUAAAGUUUUAAUCGUUGUUGAUUUUAAUAUCCAUGUUGACAAUGAAAAAGAUGCAUUGGGAUCAGCAUUUAUAGACAUUCUGAACUCUGUUGGGGUUUGACAACACGUAUCAGGACCUACUCCUUGUCGAAAUCAUACUCUAGAUUUAAUACUAGAACUAGAACACCCAUCACCUGCCCUGAAUGCCUCCCCACAAAACCAUUCACACCAUUCACAACUCCUGCAACCAGCCCCAAAUGCCUCUCCAAACAACCGUUCACACCAUUAACAGCUCCUGCAACCCAUCCUGAACACCUCUCCAAUCAAGCACUCUCACCAUUCACACCUCCUGCAUCCCCCCUCUCCCCCACACCUGCAAUUCAGAUCAGCGAGGAUGCGGUGCGCCAGGUCUUCUGGAAGCAGAAAAGGAAAAAAGCACCAGGCCCAGAUUGUGUUACACCAAUCCUGUGCUGACCAGCUGGCCCCCAUCUUCACACAGAUCUUCAACAGAUCGCUGGAGCUGUGCGAAGUCCCUUCAUGCUUCAAACGCUCCACCAUCAUCCCCAUCCCUAACAAACCCAAAAUUACAGGACUAAAUGACUACAGGCCUGUGGCUCUAACGUCUGUAGUCAUGAAGUCAUUUGAAAAACUGGUGCUGGCCCACCUGAAGGACAUCACUGGGCCCUUGCUGGAUCCUCUUCAGUUUGCCUACAGAGCAAACAGGUCUGUGGACGAUGCAGUAAACAUUGGGACUGCAUUAUGUUCUGCAACACCUAGACAGACCGGGGACUUAUGUGAAGAUCCUAUUUGUGG